rnacentral:rRNA from 1 species
UAACACGUAAGCAACCUGCCCGAAAGACCGGGAUAACGUUUCGAAAGAGGCGCUAAUACCGGAUGUGACCGCGACAUCUAAACAUUGGCUUUCGGAGGGGCUUGCGGCCUAUCAGCUAGAUGGCGAGGUAACGGCUCACCAUGGCGUCGACGGGUAGCUGGUCUGAGAGGAUGGUCAGCCGGACUGGGACUGAGAUACGGCCCAGACUCCUACGGGGGGCAGCAAUUAGGAAUCUUGCGCAAUGGGCGAAAGCCUGACGCAGCGACGCCGCGUGGAGGAGGAAGGCCUUCGGGUUGUAAACUCCUUUUAGGUGGGAAGAAUGACGGUACCACCAGAAUAAGCCCCGGCUAACUCCGUGCCAGCAGCCGCGGUAAUACGGAGGGGGCGAGCGUUGUCCGAAGUUACUGGGCGUAAAGCGCGCGUAGGUGGGUUGGCAAGUCCGCUGUGAAAGCCCGGAGCUCAACUCCGGAGGGUCGGUGGAUAC